UUUUCUCUUUCUUAAUUUCAUCGAAGACGGGAUUAGUUUGGGAGAUGGAGAAAGUCGCAGAGAAGAGUUGUGGGCAUAGAAAGAUGAGGCGAGGAAAGUCUACGGCGGAGAUUCCGUUUGAUUUUAGGAAGUGAUCAUAGCGGAGAGGAUGACGGGAAGGUUGUCCACCGGUGGAGCAAGUCUGGGAUUGUGAAGGAUUAUUCCGAGAUACGAGAGGCAUCUUAGAUUUUCACGGUGAAAGGUCUGAAACUGAAGAUAGAGAGGUCUAGAGUUUGGAGGAGGAAAGGAAAACGACGAGGAUGAAGAUAGAGGUUAAAGACGAAGUGAAGCAUAUAGGUAGCCAUUGAUUUUGUCGUCGCUUCUUAAUUUCACCAUCGACGAACAAUCCCAGAAGAUGAAUCAUCUUCUUCUGAAACUCCACAUCCGAGAGCAUCACAUGUUAGACGAGUCGACUAGACUGAUGAUCGAGACUGGAAACAUUUGAGCCGGCGGGAUCUGAUCUGGCAGCGGCUGUGCAUACGGCUCAGCUGGAUGCCGCUAACCGGAUUAGCUUCGAGGAGGAAAGGAAGACGACGAGGAUGAAGAUAGCCUUGGUGUUAAUGCUACGGUCACCGAUGAAGAAUUCCCAUUGACACCUCAUCCCUUCGCUAUUGGGGACAUUUGGUUAUUAACUAUGACCAGAAAGUCAUAGGUGGUUUCUGCGAUGUGUAUGUAAUUACAUCUAAUUCUCUUUAACAAGGGAAGAUGCCAGUUCAAGGUUAUAACAAACGAUUAAAAACAUCAUCACUAAGCUUGAAGAGGCGUUAUUGCUUGAG